rnacentral:rRNA from 1 species
UACGUAGGGGGCAAGCGUUGUCCGGAUUUAUUGGGCGUAAAGAGCUCGUAGGCGGUCGUUCACGUCGGGUGUGAAAGCUCGGGGCUCAACCUCGAGAUGCCAUUCGAUACGGGACGACUAGAGGCAGGUAGGGGAGAUUGGAAUUCCUGGUGUAGCGGUGAAAUGCGCAGAUAUCGGGAGGAACACCAGUAGCGAAGGCGGCUCGCUGGGCCAUUCCUGACGCUGAGACGCGAAAGCUAGGGGAGCAAACAGGAUUAGAUACCCCGAGUAGU